UUGCGCAGAAUAUUUCAAUUCAUACGUUGC
rnacentral:piRNA from 1 species